CCUACGGGGGGCAGCAGUGGGGAAUAUUGGACAAUGGGGGCAACCCUGAUCCAGCCAUGCCGCGUGUGUGAAGAAGGCCCUCGGGUUGUAAAGCACUUUCAGUGAGGAAGAACGCCUGGUGGUUAAUACCCAUCAGGAAAGACAUCACUCACAGAAGAAGCACCGGCUAACUCCGUGCCAGCAGCCGCGGUAAUACGGAGGGUGCUAGCGUUAAUCGGAAUUACUGGGCGUAAAGCGCGCGUAGGUGGCUUGAUAAGCCGGUUGUGAAAGCCCCGGGCUCAACCUGGGAACGGCAUCCGGAACUGUCAAGCUAGAGUGCAGGAGAGGAAGGUAGAAUUCCCGGUGUAGCGGUGAAAUGCGUAGAGAUCGGGAGGAAUACCAGUGGCGAAGGCGGCCUUCUGGACUGACACUGACACUGAGGUGCGAAAGCGUGGGUAGCAAACAGGAUUAGAUACCCUGGUAGUC
rnacentral:rRNA from 1 species